rnacentral:rRNA from 1 species
AUUGAACGCUGGCGGCAUGCCUUACACAUGCAAGUCGAACGGUAACGCGGGGCAACCUGGCGACGAGUGGCGAACGGGUGAGUAAUGCAUCGGAACGUGCCCAGUAGUGGGGGAUAGCCCGGCGAAAGCCGGAUUAAUACCGCAUACGACCUACGGGUGAAAGCGGGGGACCGUAAGGCCUCGCGCCAUUGGAGCGGCCGAUGUCAGAUUAGGUUGUUGGUGGGGUAAACGCCUACCAAGCCGACGAUCUGUAGCUGGUCUGAGAGGACGACCAGCCACACUGGGACUGAGACACGGCCCAGACUCCUACGGGAGGCAGCAGUGGGGAAUUUUGGACAAUGGGGGCAACCCUGAUCCAGCCAUGCCGCGUGCGGGAAGAAGGCCUUCGGGUUGUAAACCGCUUUUGUCAGGGAAGAAACGCUCUGGGCUAAUACCCCGGGGUAAUGACGGUACCUGAAGAAUAAGCACCGGCUAACUACGUGCCAGCCGCCGCCGUAACAC